AUUGAACGCUGGCGGCAGGCUUAACACAUGCAAGUCGAGCGGGGGAGGUUGCUUCGGUAACUGACCUAGCGGCGGACGGGUGAGUAAUGCUUAGGAAUCUGCCUAUUGGUGGGGGACAACAUUCCGAAAGGGAUGCUAAUACCGCAUACGCCCUACGGGGGAAAGCAGGGGAUCUUCGGACCUUGCGCUAAUAGAUGAGCCUAAGUCGGAUUAGCUAGUAGGUGAGGUAAUGGCUCACCUAGGCGACGAUCCGUAACUGGUCUGAGAGGAUGAUCAGUAACACUGGAACUGAGACACGGUCCAGACUCCUACGGGAGGCAGCAGUGGGGAAUAUUGGACAAUGGGCGAAAGCCUGAUCCAGCCAUGCCGCGUGUGUGAAGAAGGUCUUCGGAUUGUAAAGCACUUUAAGUUGGGAGGAAGGGUAUUCACCUAAUACGUGGGUACUUUGACGUUACCAACAGAAUAAGCACCGGCUAACUCUGUGCCAGCAGCCGCCGUAAUAC
rnacentral:rRNA from 1 species